rnacentral:rRNA from 1 species
UACGUAGGGGGCAAGCGUUGUCCGGAAUUAUUGGGCGUAAAGAGCGUGUAGGCGGUCCGGUAAGUCAGCUGUGAAAGUCAAGGGCUCAACCCUUGAAUGCCGGUUGAUACUGUCGGGCUAGAGUCCGGAAGAGGCGAGUGGAAUUCCUGGUGUAGCGGUGAAAUGCGCAGAUAUCAGGAGGAACACCGAUGGCGAAGGCAGCUCGCUGGGACGGUACUGACGCUGAGGCGCGAAAGCGUGGGGAGCAAACAGG